GGUCAAAAACGGUAAGGCAAUGCAGGAAGCAAUCACUCUUGGUGUCACCAAAUAAUCAACAGGAUUUGCACCGAGAACUCUCAACGUGUCUGUCUGCUCAGACACCUGCAUGGUGCCCAGUUCUGCAGCAAAUGCACUACCGAUACGCCCAGCAACUACAAUUGAUGUGACAACUGGACUUAACUCUCUUGAAAAGGCAAGGGCCAGCACUCCACCAACGGAUCUAUUUAACCCUAAUCUAGUGAAUUCUCUAACAAAUUGGAUAGUGAAGGCCAU
rnacentral:misc_RNA from 1 species